UACGAAGGGGGCUAGCGUUGCUCGGAAUCACUGGGCGUAAAGCGCACGUAGGCGGCUUUCUAAGUCAGGGGUGAAAUCCUGGAGCUCAACUCCAGAACUGCCUUUGAUACUGGGAAGCUCGAGUCCGGAAGAGGUGAGUGGAACUGCGAGUGUAGAGGUGAAAUUCGUAGAUAUUGGGAAGAACACCGGUGGCGAAGGCGGCUCACUGGCUCGUAUCUGACGCUCAGGCGCGACAGCGUGGGGAUCAAACAGG
rnacentral:rRNA from 1 species